GACGAACGCUGGCGGCGUGCCUAAUACAUGCAAGUCGAACGAAACUUUCUUACACCGAAUGCUUGCAUUCAUCGUAAGAAGUUGAGUGGCGGACGGGUGAGUAACACGUGGGUAACCUGCCUAAAAGAAGGGGAUAACACUUGGAAACAGGUGCUAAUACCGUAUAUCUCUAAGGAUCGCAUGAUCCUUAGAUGAAAGAUGGUUCUGCUAUCGCUUUUAGAUGGACCCGCGGCGUAUUAACUAGUUGGUGGGGUAACGGCCUACCAAGGUGAUGAUACGUAGCCGAACUGAGAGGUUGAUCGGCCACAUUGGGACUGAGACACGGCCCAAACUCCUACGGGAGGCAG
rnacentral:rRNA from 1 species